rnacentral:rRNA from 1 species
GACGAACGCUGGCGGCGUGCUUAACACAUGCAAGUCGAACGGAAAGGCCCUGCUUUUGUGGGGUGCUCGAGUGGCGAACGGGUGAGUAACACGUGAGUAACCUGCCCUUGACUUUGGGAUAACUUCAGGAAACUGGGGCUAAUACCGGAUAGGAGCUCCUGCUGCAUGGUGGGGGUUGGAAAGUUUCGGCGGUUGGGGAUGGACUCGCGGCUUAUCAGCUUGUUGGUGGGGUAGUGGCUUACCAAGGCUUUGACGGGUAGCCGGCCUGAGAGGGUGACCGGCCACAUUGGGCCUGAGAUACGGCCCAGACUCCUACGGGAGGCAGCAGUGGGGAAUAUUGCACAAUGGGCGGAAGCCUGAUGCAGCAACGCCGCGUGCGGGAUGACGGCCUUCGGGUUGUAAACCGCUUUCGCCUGUGACGAAGCGUGAGUGACGGUAAUGGGUAAAGAAGCACCGGCUAACUACGUGCCAGCAGCCGCGGUGAUACGUAGGGUGCGAGCGUUGUCCGGAUUUAUUGGGCGUAAAGGGCUCGUAGGUGGUUGAUCGCGUCGGAAGUGUAAUCUUGGGGCUUAACCCUGAGCGUGCUUUCGAUACGGGUUGACUUGAGGAAGGUAGGGGAGAAUGGAAUUCCUGGUGGAGCGGUGGAAUGCGCAGAUAUCAGGAGGAACACCAGUGGCGAAGGCGGUUCUCUGGGCCUUUCCUGACGCUGAGGAGCGAAAGCGUGGGGAGCGAACAGGCUUAGAUACCCUGGUAGUCCACGCUGUAAACGGUGGGUACUAGGUGUGGGGUCCAUUCCACGGGUUCCGUGCCGUAGCUAACGCUUUAAGUACCCCGCCUGGGGAGUACGGCCGCAAGGCUAAAACUCAAAGGAAUUGACGGGGCCCCGCACAAGCGGCGGAGCAUGCGGAUUAAUUCGAUGCAACGCGUAGAACCUUACCUGGGUUUGACAUGGAUCGGGAGUGCUCAGAGAUGGGUGUGCCUCUUUUGGGGUCGGUUCACAGGUGGUGCAUGGCUGUCGUCAGCUCGUGUCGUGAGACGUUGGGUUAAGUCCCGCAACGAGCGCAACCCUUGUUCACUGUUGCCAGCACGUUAUGGUGGGGACUCAGUGGAGACCGCCGGGGUCAACUCGGAGGAAGGUGGGGAUGACGUCAAGUCAUCAUGCCCCUUAUGUCCAGGGCUUCACGCAUGCUACAAUGGCUGGUACAGAGAGUGGCGAGCCUGUGAGGGUGAGCGAAUCUCGGAAAGCCGGUCUCAGUCCGGAUUGGGGUCUGCGACUCGACCUCAUGAAGUCGGAGUCGCUAGUAAUCGCAGAUCAGCAACGCUGCGGUGAAUACGUUCCCGGGGCU